rnacentral:tRNA from 1 species
GACUUUAUAGUUUUAAAAUAAAACAUUAAUUUUGUAAAUUAAUAAUGAUUAUAUUUCUAAAGUCU